rnacentral:lncRNA from 1 species
GGUAAAAGCAAGCGGGUCGGGUGCUACGUGGCACAAGAAAACUGAGAUUUAACGCCUCCCGUUAGAGUCAAACAAUAGAUUAACGGCGCUGAAAAUUGUUUUAAGGUUAAUUAUGUGAUUGUAAGUGAUUAGAUGCUUUGUUAUUUAAAUGAAAACUUUUUUGGCUCGGUAGGCCAACUGAAAGUUUUGGUCCAGUACAGUGACCAAUU